rnacentral:lncRNA from 1 species
GCACAACAUGAAAUUCGACAACACAGUAAUAGAUGUUGAUCUCUGUCCAUGUUUCAGCAAGUCCAAAUUUGAUCACGACAACACACCAUUGCUUCUUAACUUGUUAAUCAGCAUGAAUGUAUGUCUAUAGUUCCUUUAGUUCAAGUUCAUAAGACAACAACCACUGCUUUGUUUUCUCUACAUCAGCACAACGUUACUUCACCUCAUGGUUUGUGUUGGCAAGAUAGAUUAAGCUAUUCUUGAAUGUUUCGAAGGGACAAAUUAUACAAGGGAGAAAAGGAGACCACAUCAAAUGCAACUAAAUUAUUGCCUUAGCGUGGUACCCUCUUUCUACUCAGUAUUUCCUGCACAAAACAACACAUUUUAGCCCAAAAAGAAUGGAAAGUUUAAGACAAAAAUGAAAAGAAUAUCAUGGGGGAAUUAAAUUGGUUUUUGUAUGAAAGCAAGUAAAUUUAGGUGAACUAACAAAAAGAUAAGUCAAUCAACCUUAAACAGUAGUAUUUGUAAGAAACAUAAAGAGCCUGGAGUUUCCUUCUUGACACUAGCACUACUAGAUACUUAAGAUUUGUGCUAUUCAUUUACAAAUGCUUAACUUGGUGCUUAACUUUACGAAUGCUUAACUUAGCUCUGUUGUCUUUAUCUCUUUUCUUCAUGCUUGGAAUUUUUUUAACAUUUUUAACGUUCGUGAAAUCUGGAUCAUUUUGUUUGGUUUUGUAACUUGUAUCUCUCUGGAACAUUGAUGUUCAAAUAAUAGCUGAAGCUUGACCAGGUUCAAAUCCAUUUUGCACUUGUUUCAUGUCCUUCCGUUUCGAAAUAUGAGACAUCAUAUCAGUGAUGGUAGAAGAAAAACAUUACAGUAAUGGUUGAAGGAUAGGUUUAUAGAGAAAACAUCACAUCAAAAUUGAAAUUUUGAUUGGAUGCGUGAAUUUCUUAAUUCUUGAAAGUUGUGACAGAUUUUUAGAAGAGGAACUGUGACAAAUAUUCUGAAAUUUUUCAAAUUGAGAAGAGUAUCAGAUAAAUUGGAACAGAGUGACACUAACAUCUUUAGUCCUAAGUUUCACUUUGAAAAAUCAUUUUAAGACCAAAGAAGGAAGAGGAUGAGGUGAAAUGUAAUAAGUUUGUUAGCUUUUACGUGUAAAAAACUAUUCCAACCUUAGCUUGUGAGUAGCGACACUAUUUUCUUGACCCGUUUGAUUUAGAAAUUGAUCACCUAUUGCACUUUCGAAGCCCAAAAUUGCAACUGAACAUUGUUUCUAGUAAAUUUCUUUUGCAUUGAAGAUGCUGGGACUGGAAUGCUGAAUAACUACUGUAAUAGCAGUUAUAUCUCUUGAUCAUUGAUUGCUAGAGACCAACUUCCCAUGCAGUUGCACAAGUACAAAUACAUGGCUCUAUGCCGUCAUGUCUCAUAUUCCAGCAUGUUAGAAUAAUGUAAGUUAUCAACAGGUUUUAACCUUCCUUAGAUAGAUAAAGAGCCUGGAGUUUCCUUCUUGACACUAGCACUACUAGAUACUUAAGAUUUGUGCUAUUCAUUUACAAAUGCUUAACUUGGUGCUUAACUUUACAAAUGCUUAACUUAGCUUUGUUGUCUUUAUCUCUUUUCUUCGUGCUUGGAAUUUUUUUAACAGUAGCUCCUUGUGCCUAUUGAAAACAUAGUAUUAGGUUGUAUAGCUGAAUUCACAGCCUUGUACAACCUCGAGAGUGUUGCAGUAGCAGGUACAUCACCCUUAGCUACUGGUUUUACUGAUUUAAAAAGAUCUGCACCUUCCUUAUGUUGUCGCAGAUUUCCAACAUGCUCCUUAACAACCUCUAUUCCCCCCAAAUUUUGAGUAACAGCUGUAGCAGCCAAAUUUUGAGUAACAGUUGCAAUCAAAUCUGUUCUUGUUGAUUUAUGAUUCAUGAAAUCUGGAACAUUUUGUUUGGUUGUGUAGCUUGUAUCUCUCUGGAACAUUGAUGUUCAAAUAAUAGUUGAAGCUUGACCAGGUUCUUCGUUAUGUUAAGAUUAUGAUUCUUCGUUAUGCAUGAUCAAAAGAAUGUAGUUAUUUCUGCUUAUAGAUGUUAGCGUAUUUGUUGUAGAUACAAAGGGCAGAUCUUGCUUAAGACGAUUCUGUUUCUAGACCAAAGUAAUCCUUGAGUAUUUGCUUCGAAGUUCUUCCAAAUCCAUUUUGCACUUGUUUCAUGUCCUUCAGUGUCAAAAUUUCUCGCUUUAUUUGGUCUACUCUUUUCAGGACAACAUCAAGUAAGGUAUCUGUUUCAACCAUUGAUGUAUGGCUUGAUAGAUCUGAUCUUUUCUUGUCAAGCUUUUUGUAUAGAUUCAUGAUAUAAUUCUUUUGAGUAAAAAGCUUUUCCUCAGCAAGUUUGUACUCAAAUUCUUGAGACUCCCUCAAUGCCUGCAGUGUUUGACUGACAAAGUAUCUAACAGUGAUGGAAUCUUCAAGAUAUUUUUUUCAAUAUUAUACUUUAUCCUUUAACAUAAUUAUUUUAUAAUUUCAGGCCAUACGGUCUGAUGUUCGAUAAUUUAGCAGUUGGAAGAUUUCAAAAUGAUGAGAAGUUGCGGAAAUCAUUUGAAGACCAUCAUUCUGGAUUAUUACUAUGAUGACAUUAGCUAUUUAGUCUAAACAAUAUAUUUUUAUGUUUUAAGUUACGAUGAUACUAAUAUUUUUGAUUAGUACUUCCUUUUGUUUGUUAAGAUUUAAUGAGAUAUAUUACAUUUUUUUGAAUUAAUAUUAAUAUAUUUUAUUAUUUGGGUCAUAUUUUAUACAAAUGUAGUAACUAUUAUUAAUUGUCGCCAAAUUAUUGAUAUUAUCGCUAGUGACUUUUAAAGAUAUUGAUUUUUAGCGGCAAUUUAGUUAAACAUAUUAGCUAUUAAAAUGGACGCUAAAAGGGUAAACUAAUUGCCGUUAAAGAUGCAAAUUUUUUAGCGACAAUUAUUUUGAAUUUAGCGGCUAAAAAAAUGGAUGGUAAAUAAGUAUAAUUAGCCGUUUGGAUUGGAUUUAGUAGUCAUUAUAAUUGCCAUAAACAAUUGCCGCUAGAGAUUCGAACGUUUAGCGACAAUUAUUUUGAACUUAGCCGCUAUAAAAAUGGAUGUAAAUAAGUAUAAUUAGCCGUUUGGAUUGGAUUUAGUAGCCAUUAUAAUUGCCACAAACAAUUGCUGUUAGAGAUACGAACGUUUAGCGGUAAUUAGUUUGAAUGUAGCGGCUAUAAAAAUAGCUGCUAAAGAAGUAUAGUCGGCCAUUUUGGAUUGGAUUUAAUAGCCAUUAUAAUUGCCGCAAACAAUUGCCAUUAAAGAUAAUAACUUUUAGCGGUAAUAAACCAUGCCUUUUACCACCUUUUAUUACAAAAGCCGCUAAAGGCUUUGCCGACCCCGGCAUUAGCGGCAAAACAAUAAUGGCUGGUAAAAGAUAUAGCGGCUAUAGUUAUUGCCGCUAAAGCCGUUUUGUAUUGUUGCAAAAGGUCUUUUUUGUAGUAGUGACAUUUCCGAGUUCUGUGGUUCUAGCACGAUCGCUUUGAUUAUACUUGGCUUAUUAAAUUAUCUAAUUAGCCAUUUUAGAACCUAUGUGCAUUUACCUCUUUUAAUUAAGAAAUUAUUUUGACACGAGUCAUGCGUACGUGUACUCAUUUUAUUUGGUGCGUCAAAAAUCGUGUCACGCGAACGUGUUCACAAUUAAUAACGCUUUGUUAUUAUUAAGAAAGUUUGGCCAAAGUUGCGCGUACACAUACCACGGUUUUGUUCUUAGAAAUCGCAAUCAUGUCAUGCGAACAUGUCCCCAAUCACAAUGAUAUAUUAAACAGGCCUAGAGAAACUACGAGCAUUUGUCAUUUUUAUAUCUAGGUUAUGAAAUUAAUACGAGGGCCAUGUAUGAUUAAAUUGUGGAUAGCACACCUCGGACUAUAUGAACUAAAAUUACAUUAAUGGUCUAUUAACAACAAUUUUAUUUUUAAGAAAGUUUGAUCGAAGUUGCGCGAGCACAUACUCCGACUUUGUUUUUAGAAUCGUAAUUAUGUCACACAAACGUGUACACAAUCACAAUAGCAUUUUAAACGCGCUUAGAGGCUUUUCCAUGGAUAUUCAUUUCAAAAACCGUAAUCAUAUCACGCUAAUGUGUACAUAGUCACGAUAAUAAAUUCAAAAUGCGCCUAAAGGUUCACCUAUCCGGGUGUUAACGGCCUAGCAUGCUCCUAACGAUUGUAACAAAGUAAAUAAAUGAAGGAGUACUAAAAAUGUAAACAACUUAAUUAAUUAUUUUUAUUUUCCCCACUCCCACGGAUUCAACAAACAUUCCGAAACUAAAAGUAAUAUCGCAGCUUGCUAAUACGCCCACGAUUUGAUGAAAUUCAAGCUUUUUCUCAACAAAUCCAAUCAUAGACAAAGAUCAAGAACAGUUAAGCUUCUUAUAUCUUCUAAAUUCAAGAGUGUAACUACAUGGAUUACUAAAGCCAUUACGAGAGAACAAAGGAUUUCUAAGUAUUACUUAAUCAAAUUUUAUCUCCAAUAUAAGGAAACGAAAUCCAAGAUAACUACACAAUAAAACUUCAAACAUUUAGCACAAAUCUGACAUAGUAAAGCUAAGUCUAAAAUCAUAAAUGAUCUGUAUAGCAAAUGCAUAUGAAACCAGCCAACAACGAAGAGAAUAGGUCAACAACAUAUUUCGAUCACAACCACGAAAGUAACAUAGCAAUUUCCAAAUUUCAAUUCGAUUUAAUCACAUCAUUAAUUUCAACGUCAACUCAAUGUAGAUUCGAAAAGCAGUAGCUAUUUCUUUUAUGCAAACCUUCAGCUCAAUAACAAUUCUAAUAAAGAGCUCCAAUCCAGAAGAAGAGAACUAGAAUUUGUGUCAAACCCAACAAAAUAGAAGGAAAAUAAUGGCAGUGCCUCAACAACAUUUCAAUGUAUCAAAGCAACCACUCAUUAUCAAACCAAAAGCUACCAAACAAAAAAAGUUAUUCAAGUAAUUAUCAUACACAUAACAAGGACUAAAACAAGAGGAAAUAAACACAAAUAUUCACAUGAAACAUUAUAAAAGAGGAAAAGUUUGGAAUCAGACCUCAAUAAUAUUAACAAAAACUUAGUUACAGUAAAUUCCGGUGGACUAAAUCUGACUGGAAAAAUGAGACGAUAGCAGAAGCCUGGACCGCAGACCCCGUCAGCAACCUCGAAAUCAAAACGAAAUCAACCUCGGAUCAAAUCGGAGCCCUCUGAAUCAGUGGUCUUCGACUGAUUUUCGCGAGUUUGAUGGGAUUUUGGACUAACUAGCGACUGUUUUGGAGAAUUGUUGCCGAAUUUCCGGCGAGCUGGGCUGGGUCCGAUGAGAGACGGAGACGGGGGCUGCUGUGUAUGCCUGGUCGUCAGGGUUAUAGUGAGGAAGACGAGUUGGAUCUCUCUUAGGGUUCUUUUGUUUUCUGAUUUUUGGAAAGAUGGAGAAGAAAGGUCUAAGGCUUCUUCCAUUCUCUAGGGGUCUUCAACGUUUUUCAUUUUGUUUUUAGGAAGAAGGAGAAUGUUCAGACGGUCGGAUUUUUGAUGGAGCGGCGGAUCCCCUAUAUUAUAGAGUCUAGGGUCUAUUUAUUUGUUCUCCUUUUUUUUGUAUAGUGUAGGGAUAUAGGUUAGGGUUUUUUAGGUUAAGGGGUAUGGGCCUAGGAAUUAUGGGCUAGGUCCAAAAAUUAGGCCUAAAAAUAGGACGUUUGAGCCUGAAUUUUAUUCUUUCCCCGCGAACGAGACUAAAAUACGAUCUCAUUUAUUUAGUCAUACUUAAGUAAAAUAACUAUUAAAAUAAGACUGAUCAUUAAAACAAAACUAUUUUUGGUAUUUUUCAAGAUUAAAAAUGACUACAAAACAUUAAUGAAAUUAUUUUUUUGUAAUUUUUAUUUUCUU